CCUCAGUAAUUAGGUCACAUGACCUGCACCUACUUGCUUGCCUGCUUGCUCAUUAGAAGUCACAUGCUGGUCACAAGCUACUUGCUUCAGCUGCUUGUAGCUUUCUUCAUGGGAAGGAAAAGUUCAGCUGCUUGUGCUGCUUGGUGUGCUGAAGCAUGUCUCCACCUGUCUAACCUCAGCUUUGCCUUGUGUGGGAGUAAACCCUCAUCUGAAUUAACUCCUUAUCCUUUAAAACACCUUCUUCACCCUUCUGGACGUUCAUAACCUGCAGCAUAACAAGAGAAAUUUUCAGAGAGAAAACAAUGAGAAAGAAGAGAAAAAGUGAGAGAAAAAUCAGAACAAAAAAAAUAUGGGAAAAUUAGCCACGACCUUAGAUGACUUUGUUCCAUCCUCUAGCUCAGUUCACUGCUGUGUAGAAGAUCAGAAGUCCAGCCAUGAGUUCAGUUUCAAGGGGAGGAUUAUCUGAGUUCAUAUGGCCAUCAGUUGCUGUUGUCAGUGGUCGAGUAAAGUUGAAGGAUAAGAAUGGUUCAUCAAGUAAAACCAUUUUCUGUCUAGUUGGUUGUGGAGUUUGGCUAGAUCGGUCCAGUCACUCCUUGUAGCCGCUCAGUCACUUGGUUUGAAUUCAGAUAUCAAGGAGAGUGGUCGGAUCAGUCAGAUAAUUUUGACUGUUUUGAAUCUCAAGUGUACCGGAAGUGGAGUGUGAUUAGCUUGAGCUCGAGUCUAGUCUUCCCUAGCCAAUCUCAUGGAAUCAAAGGUGAGUCUAGAUAGAUGAUUGAUGAGUAGUGAAUGAAUAUUUCUUGAUUGAACGUACUGAUUGUAGAUGAUUGAUAGGCUUUGUCUCUUGAUCAAUAUUGAAUUGGUAAGGUGUUUACUUAGUGUAAACACUUAUUAAAUAUUUAUGAAUGAUCAUAGAGGUUUAUUC